UGUUACUGACGCUAAAGCUCGAAAGUGCGGGUAUCGAACAGGAUUAGAUACCCUGGUAGUCCGCACGGUAAACGAUGGAUGCCCGCUGUUUGCCCUUCGGGGUGAGUGGCUAAGCGAAAGCGUUAAGCAUCCCACCUGGGGAGUACGCCGGCAACGGUGAAACUCAAAGGAAUUGACGGGGGCCCGCACAAGCGGAGGAACAUGUGGUUUAAUUCGAUGAUACGCGAGGAACCUUACCCGGGCUUGAAUUGCAGAUGACGGAUCUAGAGAUAGAUUUUUCCUUCGGGACAUCUGUGAAGGUGCUGCAUGGUUGUCGUCAGCUCGUGCCGUGAGGUGUCGGCUUAAGUGCCAUAACGAGCGCAACCCUUCUCUUCAGUUGCCAUCAGGUUAAGCUGGGCACUCUGGAGACACUGCCACCGUAAGGUGUGAGGAAGGUGGGGAUGACGUCAAAUCAGCACGGCCCUUACGUCCGGGGCUACACACGUGUUACAAUGGCCGGUACAGAAAGUCGGAUGCCCGUAAGGUCAUUCUAAUCAAGAAAGCCGGUCCCAGUUCGGACUGAGGUCUGCAACCCGACCUCACGAAGCUGGAUUCGCUAGU
rnacentral:rRNA from 1 species